GAAGCAGAGGUUGCAGUGUGCCAAUAUCCUGCCACUGCACUCCAGCCUGGGUGACAGAGUGAUACCCUGUGUUAAAAACAAAACAAAACAAACACACACACAAACAAAAACAGAAUCCUGUAAAUGAUGGAAUUUGGAGAGCUGAGAGGGUGACACCCUGAGAGAGGGUAUGGAAGCUCCCUUGUUUCCUACCUCACCCCAUGCAUUUCUUCUAUUUGGUGGUUCUUGGGUUUUAUCCUUUAUAAUAAUCUAGUAAGUAAAAUGCUUUCCUGAGUUCUGUGAGUUAUUGCACCAAAUUACCAAACCUGAGGAGGGGUCAUGGGAGCCCCCAGUUUAUUGCUGGUCAGUUGAUCAGUCAGAAGAUUGGGGAACGCCAUGCUUGUGACUGGUGUUAUGAAGUAACAGCAGUCUUGUGAGACUUAAAUCUGUAGAGUCUGAUGCUAACUCUAGGUAGUUAGUGUCAGAAUUGAAUUGAAUUGUAGAGCACCUUGUUGAUAUCAGAGAGUCGGAGAAAUGGUAUUGGUAAAGACAUCAUGUAUUUGGUGUUAGGAGGAAGAAAGCUCCUGAAUAAUUAAGGACUGGGUUAUGUGGUAAUAAGUGCUAUAGAUAUUAAGAGAAGGAACGUUAUGAAGUGUGGCAUUAUUGUAGUUUCUAUGACAGGAAGGCUUAAUGGAGAAGCUAGAUUAAAUAAAGGAUGGGUAAGAGUUGUUUGUGUUUGAUGAAUAGACUACAAUCCAGAGAGGAGAAUAAUGUGAAUGUUUGCCUGGAGACAAGAAAUGUAUGGUAUGAAAUGGAAAUGCUUGGCACAUUUUUAUGCCAUCUUUAAAACUUUCUCUCCAUUUUCUGGUUGGUUACAUUUUCAAUUAUGAGGCAUUUAUUUUUUGUGCAUUAAAUACAUAACAUUCUGCUGUAUUGCCAGAAGUUACAGAUGAUAUAAUGAUCUAAGUCUCUGCUUUAUAGAAAUUUUAAGUUUAAUGGCUCUUUGGAGUCAAUUCAAAAGAAUAAAUAUGACUACACAUACAUCCUUCAUAUAUGUUCAAAACUGUCUUAAUAUAUUUUGUGUGUGCAUGUAAUAUAAACUGUGUUGUAAGUUCUCCGGUAUCCUAGGUUUAUUAAGAGUAACUGAUAUCAAACUGAUAUAUACCCAGGUUUAAAAAUUGUUUACUUUUUUUCUCCCUGGCAAUCUAGGGCAUUCUACUUCUGGACUUGUUCACUAUACUUUUUAACCUUUAAUGGCAAAACCCAGCUCUCCCGAUCAGCCUUCCUGAAUCUUUGGACAGUAUUUUUGGUUGCUUGUCUGUACAUCAUUUUACCAGACCUGGAAACUGAGGAAUAAAGAGGCUAGAAGAAUUUCUCAAGCUCAUGCAUAGUGUAACUGAUAACUGGCAUUUGAACCCAGGUCCUAUGACUCCAGAGUCCACUUUCUUUUGUGUUAUACUGGGUCCUGGUGAUAGAAUCCGAGGACACCUUUAGGAGUUCCAGAAUGAG